AUGCAAGUUCCCUACCAAAUUCUAUAUGGAAUAGCUGCAUCAACUAAACAAAGUAAUGGAACCAGUAUGUGUUCUACCUCCCCCUCCUCUCAAUGGAACAGGAUAAUGAAAUCGAAGCUCAGAGAGAGUAAGGGACUUGCCCCUGGUCACAAAGAUGGCAUACCCUAGGAAGACUUCUUCCUCAUAUCUCUAAGAAUGUCUGAAUUCCCUAAAUAAGCUUUUUUUUUCAGAGUUUACUUCUCUGUCUUCUUUGUGGAAGAGGCAUGAAGAAAGAGAGGACUUACAAGACAAGACAAGCAUGCAAGAAACAAAGCUGGGGACCUGAUCUGCUAAUCAAGGUGAAGAUUCCAAAUGGAAUGUUCCCAGGAGAGGCAGUUGGAGCUGGCCAGAGGAGAUGAACUGAGGAGAUUUGGGCUCUUUGGGUUUUCUGACCAAAGGAGAGAGACUGGCUUUUCCUGAUCUAGGCAGAGAGAGAAACCUUUGUGGUUUUUGACAGAGUUUGGACUUGAAUUACUCAAACAGAGAUUAUCUGACUGAAGAAGGAAGAAGAUUUAACAGUUGUCCUCCAUCUCUCUGGCUGUCUCUGAGUCACAAUUGUGACUAGACUGACAUUUCCCCAAAUCUCCUAAUUCUCCUUGUAGACUAGGGACACCCCUAUCCCACUCACCUUCAAUUUCCAUCCUGUUGUUCCCAAUAAACCCCUUUAUUUGAGAAAGAAAGAGUGAAGA
rnacentral:lncRNA from 1 species